GAGGCGAGGUCUAGGUCAGGAAAGGUAGAAGGGUAUUGGCCACGGGAUGGAGGAGGCGCAUUAGAGUCGCGGUAGUGUGAUGGUACGGCGGGGGUGCGCUCGAGUCGCGGCGGCGUAAGGGCAUGGCGCGGGUGCGGACAGUCUGCGGCGUCGAGGCGCGAGGGUGGCAGUGCGCACGGGGCGCGGGAUCUACGGGUCCGAUUGAGGAUAUUACCUAGGGCCCCCCAGGAUAGGAGGCCGCGACUUCCCCUGCCGCCGGACUUCUUGCUGCUCAGAGUCUCCUCCUGCUCGCCGCCCACAUCGACCACGAGUUGGCCCUCUCGCACGUGGAUAGCGACGUCUCCUUCUUCGUCGCGAGCGGCGGUGGGAAGUGGUGCAGGCGGCGGAGGGGGACCACGGCGCUCCGCGGAGUGGCCGGCCUAGGUGAGCUAGACCCGUACGGUGAUGGUGUAGGGAGCUCCAUUGACUUCAUGACCUGAUACACAUUUGACGGAGGUGGUGCGGGGUCAGAGUGCCGCAGUCGACGCACUUGCGCUGGUGGCAGCUAGGUAGGUCAACGCCUGCGCGGUCGGAAUUGCGGUAGAGGAAGGUGUACGACCGGAUGAUGAGCGCACCUGCGAGCGGUGCUAGACCUACAGCGCGUCGGAGUCGUCGGACUGCGGUGGGUACUUAGUCCGGAUUAAUGAACCGGCACUUUCCGCUGUUGCUAGUACCUUAAUCACCUAAGAGGAACUACUACGCGAUACUGUGUUGUUACAAUGUGUCACUUAACCAUGAAAAGCAUCGUUGACCCACCACCUAGCUAACUUGACUAAACUCUCCUAACACGAAACUAAAAGGCUGAAGAACGUCGAACUCAUGCUCCUUCUCUACCUAGACGGAGACAACCACCCUCUGUCUGUUACGGAACACGACGAUAAAGGAUUUAUUCUAUAUGUGUACAGAAGUGUGGCGGUAACGACAACGCGGGUAUUGCGUUCGAGGCCACGGCGGCGCUACAACCAGGCGCUUCUCCUACGUUUGUGAUAUCGAGACUUGAGGUACGGUCUGUAACGAGAGUAAGACAACGAUAACCACACCUCGCGGCUCCUGCGUACAGGGUACCGGCGGCCAAGAAGGUCAGUCCCCUACGCUUUAGACGGUGGUAGCAAAGAGAGACACGCGGCCAUACAAAACACACACUAAACUUCAAACCGUUGACCGUACUCUCUUUUUGUAGUCACCUAUAGAGGGUAGUUAACGUCUGUCAACCAAACAAUGAAAUCUGACUGCUGACUUAGGUGCCCAUUACAAACGUCGUUAUUUUGACGUUGGAAGUAACAUCCUGUUCAAGAUGGACUUAGAGUACCAAACAGAAGUGUAUUACAAGAGAAUCAGCCAAACGUCGUACGUCGUUCCACUCGUUGUUUAGUAGUAGCACUCUAAAGAAAAGAUUCACGACUUCUUUCGAUGAUUCGUUCAAGUACGUACAUGUUUGUAAAGAUUAACGACGAAAAUCUCUUCGGGGUCAACAUCUAAUAAAACAUACGACUACCACGGCACCGCCGACGUACGGCCUCCCGACGUAUGAACUGAAGAUGUAGCGGUAGAAGUUGUUCCUCUUCUAGAGGGAGCGACCGGUGCUGCUCCAGGCGCGGACGUGAGGGUAAGGGUAAGAAAGAGGGGGAGGUCCUUAACCCCAAAGAUAACGAAAAAAAAAACAAACCACACACGGAGACCUCAUAUGCCACCGCCCGCCCGCCUUGAAGAACGGUGACGAGGGUCUCCGCAGUUUCAGCAGUUCGGGAGACAUCACUAGCCUGCCCUGAUGGUCCAAGUCAGGGUAGAACCGAAAUGAUACAGAGAUAUGAAGAUAAGAUGACUUAUAACAAGAACCUCGAAGUUUCCGUUAACGAAAUGACCACUUGUACAUCCUCCUAAACACCAAAUCGCAAUAAUCUGGAGACAUUUACGUACAGAUCCUCCUAAGAAGCUCGACAUGACAUAAUACAUUCAGGUAGUUUCGAUAAACGAAAUAACCACUUGUACAUAUCCUCCUAAGUAAUAAUCUGGAGACAUGUAUGUACAAACGAGACACGAUAUUUUUCUGAGAGGAAACCACCACUCGUAUUUUUCCUUCUUUAAAUGAUGAGCGUUAUUUUAAAUUAACCCACUUGAUAUCUUCGACUGAAACAAUCUCUUUCCAAGUCUUGGGUGGGUAAGAAAGAACGUCCUAACUCUUCUAACACUGAAACUUUGGAAAAUCUCUGAAACAAUCUCCUUCCAAGUCUUGGGUGGGAAAGAAAGAACGUCCUAACUCUUCUAACACUAAAACUUUGGAAAAUCUACAUGUCUUUCUUUCGUCUAACACGAACAUGUAUUACUACCAGUCUUCCAGUUUAUAUACCAUACCCUUCACCAAAGUGACUAACAUGAACAUGUCGUUCUCUCGUCUAACACAAAGGAAAGUCUUCUAUUGAAAACGGCCGGUAACACAACGAACGUUCGUCUUAUGAAUAACAAAAUCAAUACAUUUAUUUCCCUUUGACGUGGUGUCAGUAGUACGUUAAACUA
rnacentral:rRNA from 1 species